rnacentral:rRNA from 1 species
GAUGAACGCUGGCGGCGUGCUUAACACAUGCAAGUCGAACGGGAUCCAUCAGGCUUUGCUUGGUGGUGAGAGUGGCGAACGGGUGAGUAAUGCGUGACCGACCUGCCCCAUACACCGGAAUAGCUCCUGGAACCGGGUGGUAAUGCCGGAUGCUCCGACUCCUCGCAUGGGGUGUCGGGAAAGAUUUCAUCGGUAUGGGAUGGGGUCGCGUCCUAUCAGGUAGGCGGCGGGGUAACGGCCCACCGAGCCUACGACGGGUAGCCGGCCUGAGAGGGCGGCCGGCCACAUUGGGACUGAGAUACGGCCCAGACUCCUACGGGAGGCAGCAGUGGGGAAUAUUGCACAAUGGGCGCAAGCCUGAUGCAGCGACGCCGCGUGCGGGAUGACGGCCUUCGGGUUGUAAACCGCUUUUGAUCGGGAGCAAGCCUUCGGGUGAGUGUACCUUUCGAAUAAGCACCGGCUAACUACGUGCCAGCCGCCGCGGUAA